rnacentral:SRP_RNA from 1 species
GCUGGGCAUGGUGGUGUGUGCCUGUAAUCCCAGCUUCUCAGGAGGCUGAGGCAGGAGAAUCACUUGAACCCAGGAGGUGGAGGUUGCAGUGAGCUGAGAUCGUGCCACUGCACUCCAGCCUGGGUGACAGAGUGAGACUCUGUCUUUA